UUUUCAAAACAUCGCCUUUUGCAAAAUAUAAAAGGUCCAGCCUGCCCAGUGACUUGUUCAACGGCCGCGGUAUCCUGACCGCGCGAAGGUAGCGUAAUCACUUGUUUUCUAAAUCAAGACUAGUAUGAAUGGCAUCACGAAGAUCCCACUGUCUCCUUUUUUUAUUCAGUGAAACUAAUCUUCCCGUGAAGAAGCGGGAAUUUAUAUAUAAGACGAGAAGACCCUAUGGAGCUUUAAACCAUUAGUCACUCGCACAACCAGAUUCUUAUCCCAAGCAUUUUGACUCUACGUUUUAGGUUGGGGUGACCCAGGAGAAAAAAUUAUCCUUCUGGCUGACACAGAUCUUCUUUAGCAAAAAACCACACUUUUAAGCACCAACAUAUUGACAUUCAUUGACCCAGUUUCCUGAUCAACGAACCAAGUUACCCUAGGGAUAACAGCGCAAUCUACUUCGAGAGCCCUUAUCGACAAGUGGGUUUACGACCUCGAUGUUGGAUCAGGGUUUCCCNAGUGGUGCAGCCUCUACUAAAGGUUCGUUUGUUCAACGAUUAAAACCCUACGUGAU
rnacentral:rRNA from 1 species